rnacentral:rRNA from 1 species
UACGAAGGGGGCUAGCGUUGUUCGGAAUUACUGGGCGUAAAGCGCGCGUAGGCGGACUGCCAAGUCAGAGGUGAAAUCCCGGGGCUUAACCCCGGAACUGCCUUUGAAACUGUCAGUCUGGAGUGUCGGAGGGGAUAGUGGAAUUCCUAGUGUAGAGGUGAAAUUCGUAGAUAUUAGGAGGAACACCGGUGGCGAAGGCGACUGUCUGGACGACUACUGACGCUGAGGCGCGAAAGCGUGGGGAGCAAACAGG